ACCUUGCCGGGUCCAAAAGGCUUUAGUAGCACACCAAGUUCAUCAUACCUUUCCUCUUGCAGUAAUCUUGCACUAAAUUCAAGCAGUCCUUCCAGAGCUUCAGCUCGCUGCUGGUACGAUGAGGUGUCAAACCUACGGCGCCUUGUGUCUGAUGAGGUGUGGCUUGAUGCCCCAGCAGUUGCAUUUUGAUUAGAGGAGUUGCUUCCUUCCUCUUCGUCUAACUGAAACAUGCUAUGCUCAAUUCCUUGCCAUGCCUCACUGAAAUUGAGCUUCGCAGUGGGUCUGUCACUUAUCUGAACUGUGCAUUUGUCCUUAGUGAUUGAACGGUCACCAUGAUGUGGGGAACCACAUGAUCCUUGUGCUGAAGUUGAUGAAGUUUUCCGGAUAGGAAAGAAUGCCUCUUCAUAUGAAGCUAAUGGAAAUUCAGCUAUCCUGUCAAUUCGUGGUGCAUUGACAGAGACAUCUGGAGAUUUUAUACUGUGAAGGAUACCAAUAUUUGUGGAUCUUGCUGGCAAUGGGAAAGAUGCUCUGCGAUUUGUAGGGUCAGAUUUUUUUGUUGGUGUGCGUGUAACAGGAAGCUGAAAAAGAUAAUGAAAUGACACAUAAGAACCUGAUUUGUGUUUCCAGGAAAAGUUGCAAUUGACAAGCUCUAUGUGCAUUUGUGUGUGCGUGCAUGCAUGCUGGAGUUCGCAUGUGCGAGUGUAAAUGCUUGCAUGUAUGUGUUUGAGAAAAGACAGACAGGAAUUUCCAUUGUCUUACAGAUUCACGUUUCUUCACAGGUUCUCUUUCUCUCCUAACAACAGCAGCAGAAGCUUUUGUUGCGGUAACCUUUGAAGUCUUGGAAAUUUUUGAAGGUUUUGAAGAAGUAAUCGGUUUACAAAUAACUGUUCCUUCAUUGCUACUUCCAAUGGAUAAUUACAAUCUAAGAAGCAUCUGCCUAAAUAUCUAGUGCCUCUUCACAUGUCAUUGACGAAAAGCUGAUAGACCGAGCUCUAAAAACUGUCACAGCUACAAUUAUAAUACAUGUGAAACUGGUUACUUGCUAGGAAUCUUCAGGUUUGAGUAUUCUCCUUGAAGCUUUUUGUCAACCAUAUAGCAGUUUCCCUCGGCGAGACCUUGCCGGGUCCAAAAGGCUUUAGUAGCACACCAAGUUCAUCAUACCUUUCCUCUUGCAGUAAUCUUGCACUAAAUUCAAGCAGUCCUUCCAGAGCUUCAGCUCGCUGCUGGUACGAUGAGGUGUCAAACCUACGGCGCCUUGUGUCUGAUGAGGUGUGGCUUGAUGCCCCAGCAGUUGCAUUUUGAUUAGAGGAGUUGCUUCCUUCCUCUUCGUCUAACUGAAACAUGCUAUGCUCAAUUCCUUGCCAUGCCUCACUGAAAUUGAGCUUCGCAGUGGGUCUGUCACUUAUCUGAACUGUGCAUUUGUCCUUAGUGAUUGAACGGUCACCAUGAUGUGGGGAACCACAUGAUCCUUGUGCUGAAGUUGAUGAAGUUUUCCGGAUAGGAAAGAAUGCCUCUUCAUAUGAAGCUAAUGGAAAUUCAGCUAUCCUGUCAAUUCGUGGUGCAUUGACAGAGACAUCUGGAGAUUUUAUACUGUGAAGGAUACCAAUAUUUGUGGAUCUUGCUGGCAAUGGGAAAGAUGCUCUGCGAUUUGUAGGGUCAGAUUUUUUUGUUGGUGUGCGUGUAACAGGAAGCUGAAAAAGAUAAUGAAAUGACACAUAAGAACCUGAUUUGUGUUUCCAGGAAAAGUUGCAAUUGACAAGCUCUAUGUGCAUUUGUGUGUGCGUGCAUGCAUGCUGGAGUUCGCAUGUGCGAGUGUAAAUGCUUGCAUGUAUGUGUUUGAGAAAAGACAGACAGGAAUUUCC
rnacentral:lncRNA from 1 species